GCCGGGCAUGGUGGCACAUGCCUGUAAUCCCAGUAGCUUGGGAGGCUGAGACAGGAGUAACGCAAGUUCAAAGGCAGCCUCAGCAAAAGCGAGGAGCUAAGCAACUCAGUGAGACCCUGUCUCUA
rnacentral:sRNA from 1 species